rnacentral:rRNA from 1 species
AUUGAACGCUGGCGGCAUGCUUUACACAUGCAAGUCGAACGGUAACAGGCCGCAAGGUGCUGACGAGUGGCGAACGGGUGAGUAAUGCAUCGGAACGUGCCCAGUCGUGGGGGAUAACUACUCGAAAGAGUAGCUAAUACCGCAUACGAUCUAUGGAUGAAAGCGGGGGACCGUAAGGCCUCGCGCGAUUGGAGCGGCCGAUGUCAGAUUAGGUAGUUGGUGGGGUAAAGGCUCACCAAGCCAACGAUCUGUAGCUGGUCUGAGAGGACGACCAGCCACACUGGGACUGAGGCACGGCCCAGACUCCUACGGGAGGCAGCAGUGGGGAAUUUUGGACAAUGGGCGCAAGCCUGAUCCAGCAAUGCCGCGUGCAGGAAGAAGGCCUUCGGGUUGUAAACUGCUUUUGUACGGAACGAAACGGCUCUGGUUAAUACCCGGGGCUAAUGACGGUACCGGAAGAAUAAGCACCGGCUAACUACGUG